rnacentral:lncRNA from 10 species
GUUGCAAUCCCCGCCAGCUCGGCGGGGGCCGCACGGGGCUGGGUCUCCCGGAUCCCGCCCGGGGAUUGGAGUCUGAGGCUGAAAUUUGAAAUCUUGAAGUGGCCCCAAGCCACAAAUACUACAGACUGGUUUCAGUGGGAAUUAGGACCUUGUGAAAGGAGACAGCAGUGCCCCAAAGACUGGGUAGAUUUUGAAGAUCAAAGGCACUUGCCUAGGAACAAAAAUGAUUUGCCUGACUCAGUUCCAAAAUGCAGCAAAUAAUAAUUAAAGCGAAACACACACGCACUGUUUUUUUUAAAUGCAAGAGCAAAACUUUUAAAAUUCCAAAAGAAAAUAAAUCUUGGUUUCCGAGAUGAAUUCGUCAAAGGAAAAUAUCUUGGGGCCCCCAUAUCACUAAGCUAAAGGGAAAAGUCAAGCUGGGAACUGCGUAGGGAAAACCUGUCUCCCAUUCUAUUCAAAGUUACCCCUCUGCUCACUAACAUAAAUGCGUUAUCUGAUUGCCUCUUUUGGAGGCUGGGUGCGGUGGCUCACACCUGUAAUCCCAGCACUUUGGGAAGGAGAGGCGGGCGGAUCACUUGAGGUUAGGAGUUCCAGACCAGCCUGGCCAACAUAACGAAAUCCCGUCUCUACUAAAAAUACAAAAAUUAGCCGGGCAUGCUGGUGGGCGCC